rnacentral:lncRNA from 1 species
UCUGGUUCCACUUUCUUGACAAAUUUGUGCAAAAUGUUUUCAAGUACUCAACCUAUUGAUGCACAUGGACAUGAUGACUCUAGCGUUUAUGGACCAACCAACCUAUAAUCAUGGACCUUAUUGUCUUGUAGACGAUUUGGUGUUUCGAGUGUUUUGGAGCUUGCACUUUGUGCAUGUAGAUACAAAGUUGUGUGUUCUGGACCAUCUGAAGUCUGUCAUAGUAACCAAUAGUCCUUAUCUUUUUGUGACUUGUGUGUUCUAGAUGAUUUUUAAGAUGGUCAAAACUAUGCUUACUCUAGAUUAAUUUUUUUGUCAACUUGCGUUCAAUGUAUGUGCAUGUUUAUAAACAUAUUUUUAUUGUGGUGUAAUAUGU